UGAGGAAUAUUGGGCAAUGCCCGCAAGAGUGACCCAGCAACGCCGCGUGGAGGAUGAAUGUCGUAAGAUUGUAAACUCCUGUUAGAGGGGAAGAAUAGUACCGGUUGGACCGGUAUAUGACUGUACCCUCAGAGAAAGCCCCGGCUAACUACGUGCCAGCAGCCGCGGUAAUACGUAGGGGGCAAGCGUUGUCCGGAUUUACUGGGUGUAAAGGGCGCGCAGGCGGGAUAAAAAGUCAGUGGUGAAAUCCUACAGCUUAACUGUAGAACUGCCUUUGAUACUUUUAUUCUUGAGUUCGGGAGAGAGAGACGGAAUUCCAGGUGUAGUGGUGAAAUACGUAGAUAUCUGGAAGAACACCAGUUGCGAAGGCGGUCUCUUGGUCUGACACUGACGCUGAGGCGCGAAAGCGUGGGGAGCAAACA
rnacentral:rRNA from 1 species